rnacentral:sRNA from 1 species
AAAAUCAAAACCAAAAAGAACCCCAACAACCCACAAAGAGCAAGGAGUUUGUCUAGUGUUGGAGCACUAUUCCUGGGCAUGGGGCCUGCCCUGCACUGUGAUUUGGUAGACCUAGUGACACUCUAUUGGAGAAAACUGAUUUUUCCCCUUCCCGGAAGCUAUCAAUCCCAAGUAGCUUCUUAGGAGUGGGGCUUUGCAUCCACCUCCUCUUCUCAGUGCUAGGAUUUUUUGUGUGGUUUAAAACUCUGCAGCUUUUGUACGGUCAGCCUGCUUUACUCCAUAACUCAGGACCAUUUACCCCGGCGUAGUACCUCCCACAGUGUGCUCUGCAGUCUCACAACCAUCUUAUUCAAGAAAAUGCCUCAUGGAUAUGCCCACGAGCCAGUCCGAUGGAAGUCAUUCUCCAGCGAGAAUCCCUCUUUUCAGGUGACUCACGUUGGCGUCCAGUUGGUGAAAGCUGACUAGCCCAGCCUGCAGAGGCAGUCGGCAUGCCUGCCCGGUGUUCCUUUGCACGGAAGUCCCAGAGAGCGAGUGCUGUGGAAGAGUCAAGCAUUGGCAUGUAAGGAGGAAGCUGUGAGCUGGGAUGAAUCCAGAAACGUUUUCUCAGGGGUAGUAUUUUGUGAUAGUGUCACCGGAGUCGAGCAAGUAUCAGUUGGAGGCAUACAAAACUGAGGAUCUAGAGUCAAAGAACCCAGAUCCUUGAAGAUCUCUAGUAACUUCUAGCGAAUGGGAAAAUCUACAAAGCUGAUUCUUUAGCUUUGAAUGUAAACAAACAUCUGAGCUCGAGUUUCUCAGUGUUGUCUUUCCUAGGGUCAUCUGCCAUGUGUCCUGCACUCCCAGAAUCCUGUUCUCAGUCAGUGGUCUCCUUCAGCUGUUAUGGUGACCAUAACUGAUGCUCUCAGGUACUCAUGCGCUAGCUCAAGUGAAGAAUUCCCACUUGACCAUGUCCUUGAAGUCCUCAUUAGUGAUGGAACUUAUAGGCCCUGGGAUAAAGUUUAAUAACUGACAAAACAUUUCCUUACUCUUCAUCUCAUUUGACUGUCAUGUGGAUAUGACCUGUCACCUGCGAGGAAUCGCUGUGUCAGUGUGAGGGUGAAGAAAAGAGACCAGUGUGACCUGUGUGGUCCUGCCUUUGCCUGCCAGUGGGCUUUUCUUUUUCCUACUGAAGAAUGGAAUCUUUAAAAACUUGAAUUUGUACUCCAGCAGCUGAUUAAUCAUUUGUAGGAAUUUUGUUUACAGGGACCACAUUGGCUGGAGCCUUUCAGACUUUCCCCCUAAGAUCCAGGUGUGGAAAGUGAUACGUUCGCAGAGAACCGGUGAAAUUCAGCUGGCCCAGGCCAUUCAGUGUGAAUGGCAUUUGUUUGCAACUCCCCAUGCAGUAUCCACAGUGUGCCACAUGCCACCCUAUCCUGAGAGGUCAGCAAAGAGGUUAAUGUUAUUAGUGAUAUUAUUUUCAGGUCUGAGAGGUUCAGAGAUAUUAAGGAAUUAUACCAUGGGACUGCAUAGAAUGGUCCAAAUGGGGUUUAAACCCGGGGCUGGAACCCUAACUUCUACUUGUAGAGCUCAUGAGGUUUCUUGAAUUUGUUGGUCUGGGUUUUGUUGAGCUCUACUGAGGCCCAUUUCCAGAUUGGCUCCAAGGGAGUUGCAGUGGAGCUGGGAAACUUACUCUGGUAGUACAGAGCAGAGCUGGGAACUUUAUUCUGGUAGGACAGAACUAGUCUGUCCCCGGACUUCGGGCGCUGUCCUCUCUCCAGUCUCCUUGGCUAUCAUAGGUAGUGCUAUUAUUUUGGGUGGUCACUACCAGACUUUCUAAUCUGUUUUCAAACCUUUCUCCCAGCUUCUCCAGGACACUGGAUUUUGUGGGUAUCGGAAGGGUCCUUUGGCUCUGGGCUGGAGUCAGAUGAGCUAUGAAGAAAGGAAGCCAGAAGAGAGCAUCAGUUCCCAUGGAAGUGAAGUUACAGGUGACUGUGAGCUACCUCACGUGAGUAGAGUAUACUCUUAACCGCUCGGUCAUGUCCCAGCCUGAACCCGUGUCUGUAAUACAAUCUAUAGACGUUGUUUCUCUUGCUUUUGCUUUUUAAAGCAAUAUAGAAAAAGGAGCAAAGGUUAGAGUUGGGGCUUUCUGACAUGGUGGCAAAAUAACCAGAAAUAAAUAAUUUAAGUUUGGAUCCAUUGUCAUUCACCGCCCUCCCCCCCACACACACAUACUGUGGUAAGGCAGAGCAUCAUGGGGGGGAACAUGUGUUAGAGAAAAUUGUUCAUCUCGUAGUAGAUGGAAAGGAGAGGUUUGGACAAUGUGGGAGGGAGGGAAGAGGAGAGCAAGGAAGGGGUGGGCACCAAGGGUGGUCUAGAGACAAGACAGAUCUACCGAAGGUAUACUCUGAAUGACCCUUCAACUAGAUCCUACUUCCAUCACCUCCUGAUAGCCCAUCAAACUGUGAACCCCUCAAUCAAUGAGUUAAUUCAUCAAUGAUGUCAUAGCUGGCAUGAUUCAUUGAUACACCCAAAGCGAUCUCAAUGCAUCAGUGGCAAGAAUUUCAUCACAGGAGGGCAUUUCAAGAUCAAAACAAAAUAGGGCUCCAAGGGGUUAUAAAAAGUCCCAGACUAGGUCUGGUGGCUAAGUGACCCAAGUGGAACACUUACAAGCUAUGCCAUAUUAUCUCUCCCACUAAUAUGAAUGAGAAUAGAUUCUUCUUAUCUUUCUUGCAUGCCUCCUGAGAAAAUGAACCACAGGAAGUCUAAAGGAAAUGCUCCGUAAAUGCUGAAAUGUUCCAAAGCCUGAAAAUGUUCCAAAUAAUGCGUCUCAUACGCAAACCUUCAUGUGAGGACCUGGGGGAUUCCAAGCUGCUCUCCUGGGACUCUAAUGCAGAGUACUGGCAAGGUAGACGGUAGCAGGAGCAACUGAGGCCAAGUGUGACAAUGAGACUCUUGAGCUGCAUGGCUGACCUGCUUGGAGGGCUUGAAGACGAGUAAUUGGGCAGAACGUCAUGCACCUGGAAGAUCAAAAGAUAAGCUCUCUGAGAGGGGGGCAGGGAACGGCUCGUGAGUCAAGGAGUUGGAAGAAUUCGGGCAACUCUGUUGUAACCUUUCCUGUUUCUUCUUUCUCUGCCCUCCCUCCAGUGUUCACUGCCCCACCCUCUCAGAUCUCAAAAGGCUCCCAACUGGUCUCCCCACUCAGCUCCAUACACCCCUGCCUGAAUCUCCACCUUCCUCUUCAGUCCUCUCCCUCUUGCUCCAGUUUGAGCACGCAGUGCUACCCGCCAGCCAGGUGAAGCUACUCCUUCUUCCUGCUCCUGUACUUUUCCACUGUUGGCCUUCUCUUGUGCUCUGUCCUUGUGCACCCUUCCUAGUCCUGCAAGUGCGAACACCAAUUCUGACUUUCAGUCCAUCCCAAAUGCUCCUCUCUUAACUCUACUUGAGCGGAUAUGUGGUUGUCCGAUUCGACCUCCUGUUUUGGGGAGGUAUUUGAAGCCAUUUAAGUGGUGUCUUAGCUAUUUUUUCCCCUCGUUUUACCUCCUGGAGAGACUGAAAUCAUCUUGCAGAAAAGGGCCACAAUCAAAUCUGUAUUCCUUGGUAUCUUCUUGGGGGCCACUUCAUUUUCUCAUGAACUUACUAGGUUGGGAAGGGAGAGGUUCAAGCACUCUAGAACUAAGCCUCAGUAAGACCAACCGUACACUGCAAAGGAAGCUGAGAUAUAUUGUAACAGACAUGUGGAUAAACACCUUCAAAGAAUAGUGACCAGAGGGGAAAAGUCUUCUCAAGGGAGUGUAAAACAGGGAAGCAAGAAAUCAGGUAUGAGUGAGAUGGCAGUUGUUUGUCCUAUGCUUGGUAACAGGAGUCAACAGAACCUGGAAGGACCUUCUUAGGGUGGGACCAGAAUGAAUCACAAAAGCUUUCAUCUAACCAGUAUACAGCACCGGGCAUCUUCCCAAGCAGAAGCCAGGAGACAAAAGCAUCCAGCACAUUCCCAAGCCUUUGGGGUUCCUAGAGUCUUCCACAUGAGCCAGACCAAAUCUCAAAGUUCAUACCCAUUUGAAAAAAAGACAACACCGUGUCAAAAAUCCUGCCCAGCUACACCAGCCAGUGUUUCUUCAUGAUCUAUCAAACUUGGGCCAGGUGGAUGUAACCACAGACGUCCCAAUAGGUGUGGUGAGAACAAAGACAUAUAAAGGGAGAACAGAUUUUAGAAACAGAGUCAGGGAAGCCUCACUCCCAGGAGUGUGGAGAAGUGGUCCAUGAGGAGCUGUGGGUCAGUGGAAAUAGAGAAUUGGCCAAGGGGGCAAACCUGUUUGCAACAGAACCCAGGUCACUUCAAUGUGGGCUUAGCUUUUCCAAGGCCACCUGACUAUUAGAAUGGCCAGAAAACCCCUUUUAUUCCUGUUUAUUUCUCUCCUUUUCUCUGUUCUUUUCCUUCUUUCCCCUCCUUCACAUUCCCAUCUCUUUCUCUCAAAGGCCUAAAGAAAUCGUGGAAUAGAACACCCCACUGAAAAUGGAAACUCAGGUGGACUUCAGAGGGAGGAGGGGAUGAGAAGGCCCUUGGUCACUUAUCAUCCUGUGGCUUGGGGAAAGUAGGGGCCAAAACGAACACCAAGAAGUCUUCUCCUCUUUAGUGGACUUGCUUAUUUGUGGACCUCAUCUGCAUAUGUAAAUGAGAGCAGUGGGCAAUGUAGGGUGGCAGCUGUGGCCCUGCAGCUGCCUGUGCAGUGAAGCACUGGGGAGCCUCCCACAGCGCCGGGCCACUCAACUCACAUAUUGGGGACUCACUGCUUGAGAAGAGGGAGUACUAAUGAAAGGCAAGAGACCAUGUCGGAGAGGGGUCCUGGGUGUCAUUUAUGUGAACACACUCAGAGAAACACAAGAGUAGAGACUUUGUCCAGUUGUAAUCAGUCACCAUCUGGACUGCUUAGAAACUGCAUUUCCUGCUUUGAGCACCGGGAGUCUGUUAUUUUUCUUUCCAAAACUGGGUGGGAGAUAUAGACAGAGACAUAGUCCAGCCAGAGAUGAGGUGUGAACAGUCCCCAGGGAUUCCCAAGAGACAGGCUGGCAUAUCCCAAGUCUUCUUCCCAUGUAGGUCAGGUUCUAGUCUUCAUUUGCAAUCCACAUGGCCAUUCUCUGGGGUCACAGAGAGUUCUGGGGCAUAUGAUUCCGUAAGAAGGACAUUCUUACACCCUAUAAACUCAUCUGUGAUCAAUGCAAAGUGGAUUUUACUAUUUAUUCAAAUUUCAGUGGAAUUCUUUAAAAUCUUUUACAUCUUUUUUUGUGGACCAAGAAUGUAUAGUCACUAACUUUCUGAAGGCUUCAAAUUGUGAAAAAGAUGAGCAUUAAAAGAAAAUUAAUGCUUUUUUCACAAAGGUACUUUACAUUUUUUUAAAAAAAGGAUGGAGUGGGUUCUCUUUUAACUACUUGCAGUAGAUAGCUAAGAAACAUCUAUGUUCUAACGGGAAGACUAGAACCUUGACAUCAGAGGUUUUUGAUUUUUUUCUUUAUUGAAGUUAACUUCUGUUAUCAACAGGACAGCUAUGGGCCUGAAAGUUGACUUAGCAGGGAAAAGUACUUGCCAUGCAAACCUGGCGAACCGAGUUUGGUCCUCGAAACCACAGAAAGAAUGAAGAAGAAAACCGAAGGCACAAAGUUGUCCUUUGAUCUACAGCUACACUAUGGGAUGCAUGCCCCCCAUGUCCCAUGCUCUCCCUCUCGCCCUCCCUCCCACCUCUUACACACACACACACACACACACUAAUAAUAACUAAAUAAGUGCAUCUGAGGGACUGGCUCAAUGCCUUCCAGCGGUGGGUGCUACAUUGAAGGGGUUGUUAGAAGACAUAGCCAUGGGUCUCAGAACUAUAUGGUUGAAUAGAAACAAGCCAGAAUGGAAAUAAACACUAUUCACCUCUUCUGUUUUGCAGCCGAAAUCCCUGCCUUUUCUCUCCAAGGCUGCCAUGUAGGAGUUAUAGAAGCCACACGCAUAAGAUCUUGUUGUUCCUAUGCAAGGACCGGGAGCCUUGCUUCAGUCUCAGACCUGAUCUUGUGACUCUCAAGUGUUCUAGUGUGUCCACUGCUGCCUUGGACCUUUGGCAGAAUAAUCAGAGCCCCUCCACCUCACCAUUUCUAAGAGAUUUCCACAUAAAACAAAAUGCUUGCUGUGCAAAUCUCAUGAUUUACAAGAUCACUGACCAAGACCAAGAUCACUGACCCUAUACCUGUCCAUGAAAUUGCUCCUGUGGCAUGGGUCAGUAUCACUAAAUUUCUAGAUGUUCUGUCUGUUGGAUGACUUCUCGUCCUCACCAGCUUAGGUGAAACAAAGAAGGACCCAAUAACUCUGCUUCUCCAUGAAGGAAUUUACUUUGUCACAGGCUUGGAAGAAGGAGAGUGAGUAUGUAUUAUGGUCAGGAAAAUGUCCACAUGACAGUGGUGCAUCUGAGGGACUGGCUCAAUGUGUUUCCAGCGGUGGGUGCUACAUUGAAGGGGUUGUUAGAAGACAAAGCCAUGGGUCUCAGAACCAUGUGGAUGAAUAGAAACAAGCCAGAAGGGAAAUAAACACUAUUCACUUCUUCUGUUUUACAGUAGGAACUGUGAGUAAGUUUCUUGAUGCACAGUCACUGCUUAUCUUUUUAGCUUCCCGAGAGCUAGGAAGGCCACAUAAUACUCUUUCUAUAGUUUUCAAGAUUCCCUUAUGUGAUCACUCAGUAUAUUAUAUUAGCAUUCAAUUCACAAGCCUGCCUUUAACAGAUAGACAGUGCAGAAUUUAAAAUCUGAAUAUAUAUAUCCCCUCAUGUUUAUUGAUAGGAAUUUCAAAUGCAGAAAUAGAGCCCGAAUGGUUAGAAUAGGGAUAAUUGUACAGGUAGGUUUUACUAAAAACCAAGGAAGGCUUUGGAAGGCUUUUUGGCGCGUAGAGCCAUCAAAGUGUAAAUGCUCUGCUAGGGAAGUAAUUGUUUUCUGUUAGAGGUAAGCAAGCAGAGUGGGGGAGGGACUUGGAGCUUACGAGGUUUAUAUGUCGACUGGUAACCUUCAUGUUCUCACAGAUCUUUAGCCACACAUAUAGAAAGAAUUCGAUAUGUGUAUUUAAAU